UCAUGGACUUCCUAUGAUCGUGACCUU
rnacentral:piRNA from 1 species